CGCAACGCAACGCAUUCGACCGUCUGCGAAACAUUUUGGCGUCAGAGGACGUCAUCCUUACGUACCCUGAUUUCAAACUACCCUUUGAUCUAACUACCGAUGCCUCAGCAAGCGGCAUUGGGGCGGUCCUGUCCCAAAACGGCAGGCCAAUCACAAUGAUCUCGCGAACACUAAAAGAUUGUGAAGUAAACUACGCCACAAACGAAAGGGAAUUGUUGGCAAUUGUAUGGGCUAUAGGGAAGUUACAAAAUUACUUAUACGGUACCAAGGAAGUAAGAAUCUUUACCGAUCACCAGCCCUUAACAUUUGCUGUGUCCGAUAGGAACACAAAUGCCAAAAUCAAACGGUGGAAAGCCUUUAUAGAGGAACAUAAC
rnacentral:lncRNA from 1 species